rnacentral:tRNA from 1 species
AAGGGGUUCGGGAAAGAGCAUUGGUUUUGUAAACCAAAGGUUGGGGGUUCAAUUCCUCCCGGUGGCU